rnacentral:rRNA from 1 species
AGAGUUGAUCCUGGCUCAGAUUGAACGCUGGCGGCGUGCCUAACACAUGCAAGUCGAGCGGUAACAGGUGUAGCAAUACAUGCUGACGAGCGGCGAACGGGUGAGUAAUGCUUCGGAAUCUACCCAGUAGUGGGGAAUAACUAACCGAAAGGUUAGCUAAUACCGCAUACGUCCUAAGGGAGAAAGCGGGGGUCGCAAGACCUCGCGCUAUUGGAUGAGCCGAAGUCGGAUUAGCUAGUUGGUGGGGUAACGGCUCACCAAGGCGACGAUCCGUAGCUGGUCUGAGAGGACGACCAGCCACACUGGAACUGAGACACGGUCCAGACUCCUACGGGAGGCAGCAGUGGGGAAUAUUGGACAAUGGGGGAAACCCUGAUCCAGCGACGCCGCGUGUGUGAAGAAGGCCUGCGGGUUGUAAAGCACUUUUAGUGGGGAUGAAAAGUUCAGGGCUCAUAUCCCUGGAUCCUGAUCCUAACUAUCAGAACAAGGAC